UCUCUCUCUAGUAGACCACAACAAGUCAGUCUGUGCUCUUUGAUUACAGUUGUUCAACCAGUUACUAAUCUAACUAAUUGUAACUGGUUGAACAACUGAACCCAAAGGGUGCAAAGUAGAAACAUUUCGUUGUGAAGUCGGCUGGGGACAAAGA
rnacentral:pre_miRNA from 1 species